rnacentral:misc_RNA from 1 species
AAAUUGCUGCCCGCGUUAACGAUCGAGGCGGUAUUGUUUUGUGGAGGAACGGAACAAAACAUAAAGCUGAGAGCGUGGCCCGCA